CGGAUAGAUCAUAAAUGCUGGAAUGCUUUAUGAUUGAAAGGUUUCGACCGCCUUAGGAUGGAUCUGCGGCCUAUCAGGUUGUAGUGGGUGUAAUGUACCUACUAGCCUACGACGGGUACGGGUUGUGGAAGCAAGAGCCCGGAGAUGGAUUCUGAGACAUGAAUCCAGGCCCUACGGGGCGCAGCAGGCGCGAAAACUUUACAAUGCGGGAAACCGUGAUAAGGGAACACUGAGUGCUAGCAUUUAUGUUAGCUGUCCACAUGUGUAAAUAGCAUGUGAUAGCAAGGGCUGGGCAAGACCGGUGCCAGCCGCCGCGGUAACACCGGCAGCCCGAGUGGUGAUCACUAUUAUUGGGUCUAAAGGGUCCGUAGCCGGUUUAAUCAGUCUUCUGGGAAAUCUAAUCGCUUAACUAUUAGGCUUCCAGGGGAUACUGUUAGACUUGGGACCGGGAGAGGUAAGAGGUACUGCAGGGGUAGGAGUGAAAUCUUGUAAUCCCUGUGAGAC
rnacentral:rRNA from 1 species